CUUCGAUUCAAUGUAAAAUUUUAUCGAAAACUUUCAAAACGUUUUAUUCUUUCAACGUUUUUAACAUUAUACGUAAUUAUAUAUUUAUAAUAUUAACAAGAUAUGCUGAUCGGAUAAUACUUACUACAUCCGUUCAACUUCCGUGUUCUCUGUCACAUCGUGAUUUUGGUUCGAAGUUAAAGACGCACUGUUUAUCUUUAAAGUACGGGAUACGUCAGUAGAAAACGUCUGCAUUUGGGUAGGUACGUAAACAUAUUUUAUUCCAUUCAUGCCCUAGUCAACUUCAUAUUUCAUAGCAGAGAGCAUUUUUAUAGUGUUUUCCUCGUCAUUAUAGAGCUUCCGCCAACGUUUGUGAACGUACAGUACGCCGCGUUUUAUCAACGGUAAAACGAUUCUAAAUUUCCUCUACAUACCCAAAAUAUUUUAUCAUGUAUACAUUUAAAGUUGAUUGUUACUAUAAUCUCGUGAGUUCCAGCCUGAAGACGGUCUCUCGCCCUACUAAAUAUAUUCCAAUACUGUAUCCGGUUAAAUACAAACGAACGUAUUAAAAUCGAGCUUCGAAGAUUUUAACAGGCGAUAUUAUCAGUAUAUUAAAAGCAGGUUUUCCGUUAUAAGUUUUCAUACGACGAGUUUUAUUUGCUCGUUUGUAUAGGCAACUUUGCCAAUGACAAAUACACUUGUUCAAUCAUUUACUGCGGAUUUCGAACUAGCGAGCGUUUAGUGCUUUAAUUUCCGAUAAUAAUUGUUUUUCCGUUGAAACACGUCACUAUAAAUAGCCGGUAAAUAUUUUGAGGCUUUUUAUACGCGACAAUUUCCAAAAUAUCAAUAAAAACAUGAAAUGAUCCACAAAGCUUCGUAAAUUAUAUAUCAAAAUGUUGCCAAUGACGAGAUAAACACGAAUAUAACAGUUACAUUUUACAAAUGAUAAACAAAGGACAAGAAAACAACGGGCAAAGACCACUACGGGCACUAGACUUCACUUAGCAACAUUGACAUUGACUCUUAGCAAACGGUGUAUGUUUCAACGGAAAAACAAUUAUCGGAAAUUAAAGCGCUGAAACGCUAUUUCGAAAUCCACAGUAACUAUAUAGUAUGCUAGCUUUAUAACAAGUGCACUUAUCAUAGAAAUAAAAAUGGCGAAGUACAAAUUCUAUUCGCCUGAAUGGGUGAACAAAGACAGUUUGUGAGUUUGGUAUAAAAAAUUGCUUCCUACGGUGGUGGCAACAGUGACAAAUAAAACUGGUCAUAUGAAAACUUGUAGGGAUGUGCUGAAUACUGUUUUGUCAAUUCUGUAAAGUUCAGAGCGGGUGUAAUUUAACAAAUGUGUACGUUGCAAAAUCAGUGAGUGAGAUGUCUUGAGUGAAACAGUCAAUAAAGUAAAUAGAACUUUGUAUAUGUAUUCUUUGUAUAUUUAUUCUUUGUGGGUUGCAUUUGCAACGUCGCAACGCAAAGUCUGCAUAAAAUACUGGAGUCUUUCAGUGUCAUAUUGGGCAAAACCGCAAGGUCCAAGGAAAUACUAAGAAAGGAUUUGUAAUAAGCUAAAGGAAUAAAGCUGCAUGCAAGCAGAACAUUUGCAUAGCAGCCAACAGCGCGAGUCUGUUGUAAAUUGCUGUAAAAUGUAAUCAUAACUAUAAUGCACCUAUCAAUGUCUUCCAUGCACCAACGGGGGGAGUGCGGGCAUACCCAGGGGCAAUUGACAUUUUCGAGAAUUGUUUGUCAAUAUUCCUCUCUCAAGGCCAAUGGCAGUAUAGAACUGUCAAUUAAUGUUGAAUGUCCCUGGGUCAUGAAGAGAUUGAAAGACCGACACUUAUAUAUUAUAAGCUUGACACAAAUUUUAUCGACAACAGUUGAUAUUUGUGGGAAAUAAAACCGUGGUUCUGCAAGGAAUCGGAGCAAAUAGAUCAAAUAUAUAAAUAUACUUGAUAUCAGGUUGGUUUACAUUUUUAAGUUCAACUGGAAAACGCAACUCCGCGAGAGUAAUUGAUCCACCAGCUUAAACUAUCCUGAUGUUGAAGUUAAAUCUGGACAGACAAAACACAAACAUUUUGAAUAUAAUUAUAGUAUUGAAUGCACGCUGGGCUAGUAUUAAAAGUGUGAGAUAUAAAGAAAAGAAUGCGACAAAAGAGUCUUCUUGCAAAACAAAAGAUAGAUAGCAUCUUUUUUGGCAUUACAAAUCAAUUUACAGAAGCGGAUGGUUUGUUUGAACAUGAAAUAAGGGGGAUUCUUACCUUGACCCUUUCAUCUACAGGUUCAGCCAUUUUGUAUUUUUACACGAGGUUUUAAAAAUUCAAAAAAUGUCAAAAAUCCGGUAAUC